rnacentral:rRNA from 1 species
UGAGUAACGCGUGAGGAACCUGCCUCAAAGAGGGGGACAACAGUGGAAACGACUGCUAAUACCGCAUAAGCCCACGGGUCGGCAUCGACCAGAGGGAAAAGGAGCAAUCCGCUUUGAGAUGGCCUCGCGUCCGAUUAGCUAGUUGGUGAGGUAAUGGCCCACCAAGGCAACGAUCGGUAGCCGGACUGAGAGGUUGAACGGCCACAUUGGGACUGAGACACGGCCCAGACUCCUACGGGAGGCAGCAUG